rnacentral:lncRNA from 1 species
GAUAGUUUUAAAAUUUGGCACACGAAUUACGUAUGAUAAUUUGCAUUAUUAAACGAGUGAAGGUGAACAGCACACAGCCUUCUCCACAAUAAGUUUAUUGAACCCCCAAUUUAAGAGGACACGCUCGUGAUGUUUCGGGCACAUAAGUAAGUCCCCAUCAUCGGGAGCUAGAAGGCUAGAAGUAGUAUAAAUCUACUUAAGCAGAACUUAAACCAAGAGAAGAGAUACUUUAAGUUGUAAGAAGUGCACCCGCUGUCUUUCUAUAAAUGGGAUACAGCGAAACUCAAAUUAAAUUUAUAUAAGGCGAGAAUCAAUAGUAUGAUUCUCGCGGCUGUAGAUUAUUAAUUAUAUAAGCGUUGGUUGCACAUUUUCCGGACACCCGUACAAUUCAUAAUUGUUCAAGCAGUUUUAAAGUUGACAAUAGUACGUAGUGCUCUAGCUUGUAGUCAGUGUUACUACACUUUUUACAAAAAUGUACUAUUUUCAUUUUAUCCAAAUAUUGGUUCUGGUCUAGUAGUAGUAGUAGUAGUAAUAGUAGUAUUGUGGGGGGACAGCACGGGUCCGGCGAGUAGGUCUUAAAGGCCAUUUUCACCAUUGCUACUCCUUCUAUCCCCACCUCUACUGCUCAUCUUCGCCACCCAGACCAUCAUCCCCUCCUUGCCUUAAAAGGCCCGUCUCUACUCCAAAGAAGACACUUCGAUGCGGGACAUUGUAGAGGCCCCAAGGAUGCGCCUCCUAGUAGACGACAUGAUGUUUGCAGGCAUGAUGUUUGCUCCGCCAUUACAGUGUGAACACACGGGACUAUCACCAAUUCCUAGAAGGUGUAGGUGUCUGUUCCGGCCACAGUGACCUGUCAUAACCCCAACCAGAGUUCUCAGGGCCCAGCGACUCCUUGACAUCAACCAUUUGGAUAUUGCCUUGGCGUCAGCUGGGGUUCCAAUAAACUCAGUGGUUUGUCGACACCUUUCCGCUUUCCUCCAUAUCUGUGGUGGCUCUAAAAGCGCAGUGAUUUCAAGUGCUUGCUACCUGUGGGUUACUUAACACCGUGUGAGGUUCGACAGUUAUCAGGCUCUCAGAAGGUCCGAUCCUUGCCAAUGCAUCGGCACGCUCGCUUCCUGCGAACCCCAUGUACACCGGAAUCCACACCAGGUUUACUUGUUUCUGUUCUGCCACUUGUUCAGGGUAUCCCAGCAAUACCGGAUCAGUGUACUGCCCAUUUUAACACUUGAGAGUGCCCUGAGGGCAGCCUGGCUGUUGGAGUAGAUCUCGACAACUCCCUCUGUAACUUCCCUAUCUGGGGCAACUUUGAGGAUUGCAUGCAAUUCCGCCUGAAACACUGUCGUCCAGCUUCCCAGCAAAAAGUACUCUCCCCUGUUGGUGACUUGCCGGUACACAAAUGUCCCAGAACAUCCCAUAAUGGGCGCCCGUAGGUCGUUGGUGUAUCAACAUUUUACCGCCUAUCGGGCAACAACUGGCCUAGUUUUCCAACUUUCUCUUGUUGGGAUUUCCACCUUAAAUUUCCUUUCGAACCUAAGCUCGCUAUCAGGUGGGACCACCGUUGCACCAAGGAUUGGAAGAUUUCGACAUAUGGCUGUCCCUAGUUUUGUAUGUCCCUAACGUGGGUUGUUCCCAUUCUUUAUAGAGCUGCAUUGUAUCCUCGCUGGUUCUGGUCUCAAGAAGCUUAAUAAAAUUUAUCAAGUCAAACUUAAUCUCGAAAGCUAGUGUAUGAUAAGCUCACAGAUAAGGAUUUACGAGUAGUAUUUCUUGUAACUGAUGGUGAGUAUCGAAUGCUAGCGAAAAGGAUUGAAACUCAUGGUUUAAUUCAACACCCAUCUAAAUCCAAUACUGAAUUAUAGUCUAAGCAGUAGCUUGGUAGUUGUUGGAAUAGCCAAGUUAUUAUUCUAUCCGCUACCUCAGAGUUUAACAUAACUUGGUUUAUACCAGCUUUUUGAAAAAAUUGUCCUCCUUUAUUCGAAAUAUUCGUAUUUUUAUUUAUGUUAAAAUCACUUGCUUUAAUACUUCCUCUACUAUUUCAAAUAGUGAUGGAUAAGGUACUCGCUUAUCAAGCCUAUAUCAUUUUAGAUGUGCUGAUUUUGGGCUUAGUAAUUACUAAGUUUUUUGAGGUAUUCGUUAAGGCAUUACGAGAAUAUCAAUAUAUCCAUACAGAGGCACGUAUAGAUAUUGUACUCGGCAUUAAAUUAGUAAAACAUUUACUUCCAUUACCUUUACUCUAUUUUAAGAACCGGCAAGUUGAUGCAUUAGUAGCACGUGCACGUCAACUAGAUAUUAUUAGAGAAAUUCUCAGUGUUCUCUAUUGACUUUAGUCAUUGAUAUUAGCUUCACGAACAUUAUUUUUUUUAGUGAAAUAGAUUUGAUCGCCUAAAUUAACUACCAUAGUAGUAGUUUCCAUUUCUUUUUUAUGUAAUUAUGGCUUGGUGUGUUACUAAUCCAUUACAAACUAGGUUUGAAACGCAAUGUCAGUAAAAUGCUGUUAAUACUGCUUUUCCAACAGAGAGCAUUGCUGGACCUGAAGCAGUAAAAAGCCUAGAAAUAGAGUCACGUUGAGCAAGACGCUGAGUAAUUUAAACUAGAGAUUUAAUUGAUGUAUAUAGUACUCAAAUAUUAUAAUCUUUAUCUAUUCAUAUGGUGCAAGAUAUUGGUAAUAUAACUAACAUAAUCAUUUUAUGGUAUGGUGCUGAGUCUGUUAUUAACUUUGAAAUUACUGUUGGUCAAUUAAUUACAUUUAACAUGUUUACCUCGGCAUUUUUCUGGACAUCUCGCUAAAUUAGUUGAGCAAUGGGGACAAUUUGAUAAUGGGAACGAUAUAUUAAGUUUAUCAGCUGAACAAGAAGCAUUAGGAAUACAAUAACAAUAAGGCGCUUAAAAAUAAUAGCAGUAUCGGUAUAAGAUUUAGCAUGUGAAAAUCUGCAUGUGAAGUGCCUCAAGCUGGAAAACAUCAACGACCCAAAUAUUAUUGCCGGAUAAAGUCAGAGACUUCCAAAACACUUACGAUGAUGAAAAAACCGUUUGUUGGAACAGAUAUAUGCUGCUAAUGGGAAUAGUAAGUCCAAGUUGCCGGUAAAUUCGUUCGUAAUUCGUUAAGAGAAGUUUACAUUUGGACAAUCUACCAUUGGACAACUGUUAAAGUUUUUCAAAACAACAUACCUGAAAUGAGUCAGCAAAUUACAACCGUCUAGAAGUGGAUCGGUUUCAGAAAAGCCAGCAGGAAUAGGUGGAAAGGCUCAAGAUGAUUUGCAAAAUAAUAAUUAAAAUCGCAAAUCCUUGGCGACUACCGAUGAUGGUUCGAUAAUUUAUCUCCUAGGGACCAAUAUAUCUCGCGCGACUCAUGGUCUGCAUGUUCAGAUUUUCACCAUCGAAACGACUCCGGUUAUUGAUAGAAUCAAAAGAAAAGCUUCUACACCAGAUUCAACGAAAAGAGAAACCCGCGCAGACUCAGCUUUGCAAACACUUACAAAGAGAGAUCAUGAGAGAGUUUUGAAAGCCUGAUUAUUGCUCGCUUUAUUGAAGACAUUUCGAAGCCCAAACGCUCCUAAACCUUUUUUACAUCGUAUAUUUCGUAACAUAAUCCAGCAACCAGUGGUUCCAGAGGAUGUAAACCGUAUGCUUGCAGUGCCCUUUCCUAAAUUACUACGUGAAUGUUCCAGACGGUGAACAAAACUUGACUCACUCUUAUCAGAAUGUUCCGGACCGCAUCAGAGUUUAACAAGUCAUUCGUUACAAAAUAUUCCCGGCUCUUAUUAAACGUAGUAACAGUAUGCUGGAUCUGAUAAUAAUUUAGAUAAAGCAUCAACUAGCUCCAUUUCUAGAAGAUUCAGUCCGGAUGUUCACCGCCCAACACUAGACAGGGGCUGGGUUUUACCACACUAUUCCACAAACAGGCGGAAUUCAAUUAUCCAGUCUCCUCCAGCUUCCAAACCUAUUUAACCUAUUGCUAUUUUUAUGCCUUAUUACUUUAAAAUUAUGGUUUUAAUGGCCCUGACGUUCUUUAAUGUUACCUCCCUAAUUACCGUUCUUCAAUGAUAUCUCUUCAAAGGUGCUGCAAAACUCUGGUUUAUUUGUUUUCUUUCCCCGGUUUUAUCACCAGGUUGUGUGAACAUACAGGUUGUGUGAAUAUAGCUAACUAUAGCAACUUCCUUAUUUAAUAUGUUUAAUUUAAGACGAACUUUAGUAUUUUAAUACAAUGUUCAAUAUUUGGUGAAUUAAGGUUUUACAUUUUUUUAAAUAUAUGAAGAGUGUAUGCUUGAUCUGUCUCAUCAGUUCUGAAUUCUCCUAUAAUCAACUUUUUUUAAUAAUGAUACUCACUAUUUACUGAGAAUUAGAGUCACGUUAGUAUAACCACAGAGUUUACAUACACUUUUUUCGAUUGUAACAAUUUGGCUAAUGAUGCAAACAAAUCUUUUAAGUUUGUUUAAUAUUGCAUAUUAGCUAUAAAUUAAUCCUGCAAAUGAAUAUGUUUAAUACUACAUAUUAAUUAUUAGGUUACUACGUAUGGACUUUUCAGCGUAAUAAGUGAUAGUUUUAAGUGCAAUGGUGUUAAGUAUUGCUAUAGUUUAUAUUUCUUGAUAUUUGUUUUCAGUGCUAUUUCGUCUUAGAUUUAAUCUGCAUUAGACCCACUUAAUUCUCGGGGCCUGUGAGUGCAUGCAACUCUCAUUGAAACCCAGAAUUGCUUUUUAUAAAUAUUUUAGAGAUAUACCCUUUGACAAAGAUUUUUUUCCAACUUCAAAAUUAUGCGUUUUUAUUGAUUUGAUUAAACUUGAUUAAGAAAUUGUUCCAUUAUUUAACUUGCAUGUAACUUAGGCGCAAUAUAUUAUUCUUCCCUUUUCCUUUCCCGGAAUGUUUCAUAUCACUAGUGUGAAUCAAUAAAGCUUUAAGUGAAACAACCCCAUUCAACUAUCGACAAUUAUCUAUUGUAAUUUCGGUUCCUAAUUGUUGAUAACGACAUGUUGUUAAAUCAUAAUACAUUUAUUGGUACUGUUAGGCUAUUGUUGCAAUAUACACACAAAUGUAAUUAAAACACUUUUUUUAAUUUGCUGUGUGAACUUGUUAUGUAGAAUAUGUUAUCGUUUGUGGUUUUAGAAAAGUUAUAAAUUAUAUUAUGAUAGAAA